UUGAUAAGCGUGAGGUCGGAGGUUCAAGUCCUCCCAGGCCCACCAGUUACACUAUGCAGCAAAUUGCUCUGGUGACUGAAAGUUGCUCUGAGUGAGAAUGUUAAAAUCCAGUGAGAAUGUUACCACUCCCCUUAUUGAGUAAUCCCUUAAAGAAAAUUUAUGCUUAAAUAAAUUCUUCUAGGAGCGUUCAGAAGCUCCAUAGGAACUCAAAGCCUUCCAUAGAAACAAAGUCUACGCGAGAAUUUUUCUCUCUCCUCUUCAGUAAGGAGAAAAACAGGAAAAUAACGAGGGAAAUAAAAGGCCAAUAUUGUAUUUCUUAAUCAAUAUUGUCUCUCUCUCUUUGUAAAAAGCUUAAUGGUAAAAACUUAAAAGAGCUUCUGUUUUAAAAGUAUGGCGUUUUUAUAAAGCAAGACGUGAGGGCAUUUAAAACUGUUUUUAGGGGCCGUAGCUCAGCUGGGA
rnacentral:misc_RNA from 1 species